rnacentral:rRNA from 2 species
UAUCAUGCAGUCGAGCGAAUGGAUUAAGAGCUUGCUCUUAUGAAGUUAGCGGCGGACGGGUGAGUAACACGUGGGUAACCUGCCCAUAAGACUGGGAUAACUCCGGGAAACCGGGGCUAAUACCGGAUAAUAUUUUGAACUGCAUGGUUCGAAAUUGAAAGGCGGCUUCGGCUGUCACUUAUGGAUGGACCCGCGUCGCAUUAGCUAGUUGGUGAGGUAACGGCUCACCAAGGCAACGAUGCGUAGCCGACCUGAGAGGGUGAUCGGCCACACUGGGACUGAGACACGGCCCAGACUCCUACGGGAGGCAGCAGUAGGGAAUCUUCCGCAAUGGACGAAAGUCUGACGGAGCAACGCCGCGUGAGUGAUGAAGGCUUUCGGGUCGUAAAACUCUGUUGUUAGGGAAGAACAAGUGCUAGUUGAAUAAGCUGGCACCUUGACGGUACCUAACCAGAAAGCCACGGCUAACUACGUGCCAGCAGCCGCGGUAAUACGUAGGUGGCAAGCGUUAUCCGGAAUUAUUGGGCGUAAAGCGCGCGCAGGUGGUUUCUUAAGUCUGAUGUGAAAGCCCACGGCUCAACCGUGGAGGGUCAUUGGAAACUGGGAGACUUGAGUGCAGAAGAGGAAAGUGGAAUUCCAUGUGUAGCGGUGAAAUGCGUAGAGAUAUGGAGGAACACCAGUGGCGAAGGCGACUUUCUGGUCUGUAACUGACACUGAGGCGCGAAAGCGUGGGGAGCAAACAGGAUUAGAUA